rnacentral:lncRNA from 1 species
CACAGACUUCUUUAACAAUUUGCUAAGAGGGAGCCAGUCAGAUGAGUGGUCUGUGAGAAGCUGGUGAGAGUUCAAGAAUUUCCAGGUUCUCCUUUACUCUAGUCAGAGGGUUCAGGAGAUGUUUACUGAACACAAACUGUGUUCCACACACUGUGCUGUGCUCCAGCGGGAAGUUGAAAACCCACCAGCCCAACUCCCUUAAAAUACGACAAAGCAGAUGGGACACAGAUGGCAGUACCUGAUUUGACAGCCUGGCAGAUGGCAGAAGGGCUAUAAUGGACACUUUUAAAUAGCCUACAUUUUUUUUUUCUAAAGCUGACUUUAUCCAGGUUCAAUUUACAUUAAAAGUGUGCCUUUAAGUGAAUGGUUUGUAUAUUUUGGCAAAUGUAUAUACCUAUGCAACCCCCAUCACAAUCAAAAU